ensembl:lincRNA
ACUUGGUGUCCAGUUUGGCCAUCUCCUGCACGUAGAUGCGGAUGCUCUCGCUGUCGAAGAGCAGGAAGUACACAUUCUUCAGCGAGGACGAGCCCGAGUCGUCCUCGAAAUGAGAAGCGUUGACUUAAGAGAUGCCAAGUAGCUCAGCAGAUGUCACACAGACGAUAAAUAGCAAAGAUGGAAGUCUUCAUGCCGGAGGCAAUCCUAUAAGACAGUUGAGUUCUGCAGAGCUGGUAGGAGACAGACUUGCUCAGGUGAUAGAUCCAGCCAUGAUACUGACCCUAAGAGAAUGAGACGCUCUGCAGAAGACAGAAGAUUCCUGAAACUGGGAAAGGUGCCUAGAAAUCCUGAGAAGAGUGAAGAAGGAGCUGGCAGAGCAGCCUUCCUCCGCACUAUGAAAGACAUCCAACAGAGAGCAAGUUCCCACCUCACUUCCAGCUUGACUCCUUUUUAUCUCCUAACUGUGGUCUGUGAUGUCUUCAGCAAUGGUAUUAACUAGUUCUGGGUACCUGGAGGCACAGCAGCCAUGUUGAACCUAUGAGGUGAUGAAAAACCAUGCAACUAGAAACCAGAAUGGAAGAAAAGAAGAAGCUGGAUCCUUGACUGAAUUGUCGAUGGGGGAUAGUCCAUCAUCCCAGGGCUAAGACCACCUCCAGAUUUCUUGUUUGGUGAAACAAGUCCUGAUUGUUUACAUUCCCUCGUGUUGAGCUGUCUCUUGCUUGUAGCUGAAAGCAUUUCUAAUAGAUAUUCAGAUUAUCAGCCUUAGCUCCAAGCUAGAAUACUCUAUGGGACCUUAGCUUCUCCAUGAAUUCCUUUGCUCAUCUGUGUAAUGCUCAAUAAAUGUAAAUUGAACCCUGAAUGAGGGACAAUGAC